AGUGAACGCUGGCGGCGUGCCUAAUACAUGCAAGUCGAACGGAGUGGCGCACGGGUGAGUAAUAUAUAGCUAAUCUGCCCCUUGCUGGAGGACAAACGUUAGAAAUGACUGCUUAUACCCCAUAGCCAGGGAUGGGUUUAUAUCGUAUCAGCUAGUCGGUGGGGUAACGGCCUACCGAGGCUAUGACGAGUAACUGGUCUGAGAGGAUGAUCAGUAACAGUGUAACUGAGGCACGGUCCAAACACCUACGGGAGUCAGCAGGAGGGUAUAUGGCGCAAUGGGGGACACCCUGACGCAGCAACGCCGCGUGGAGGAUGACACGUGGCGGAGCGUGAACUCCUUUUGUUAGGUAAGCGGUACCUAACGAAGAAGCACCGGCUAACUCCGUGCCAGCAGCCGCGGUAAUAC
rnacentral:rRNA from 1 species